GGACGUUUGGUAGGUGACUGUAUAGUUAAACAGUGGAGCCAUCAGCGUAGUCGACGAUGGAAUUUAUAACGAGAGUAUAUUAUAAUUAUAAUUAUUACUGCGGGCGUGGAGAACGAAUAUUUGAACACUCGAAACAUUCAAACGAUUUUCGGCGGAAACUGCGUAUCAUGUAGAUGUAGAUACACAAUGAAGUAUAUUUCCCU